rnacentral:rRNA from 1 species
CAGCAGCCGCGGUAAUACAGAGGGUGCGAGCGUUAAUCGGAUUUACUGGGCGUAAAGCGUGCGUAGGCGGCUUUUUAAGUCGGAUGUGAAAUCCCUGAGCUUAACUUAGGAAUUGCAUUCUAUACUGGGAAGCUAGAGUAUGGGAGAGGAUGGUAGAAUUCCAGGUGUAGCGGUGAAAUGCGUAGAGAUCUGGAGGAAUACCGAUGGCGAAGGCAGCCAUCUGGCCUAAUACUGACGCUGAGGUACGAAAGCAUGGGGAGCAAACAGGAUUAGAUACCCCUGUAGUCCCUGUCUCUUAUAA